GCUGGGUACUGGCGAUGUUUAUCAUCAUAAUAACGAGUUAUAGUAUUAUUUGUCUUUAUGAAUAUUACUUUUACUGUUUGGACUACUUUUGUGAUAUCAAUUUGAUUCCAUACUUAUACAUUCUGUCAUUUUGUCAUUGUGCUAUGGUAUAUUCUAGUAUUCUUGUCUUUCAUUUUUGCUAAUGUGCUUUAUCCAUUUGACUUUCUGUGCCUCUUUUGUUACUAUAUGUUUGUUUUAUAGUGAUUUAGAUGAUAACACAAUGUUGACG
rnacentral:lncRNA from 1 species